rnacentral:misc_RNA from 1 species
AACAAGGCGUACCUGCGGACCUGCGGAGGGAUCAUUACCGAUGGCCACCGCGAACGCCCCCGGGCGGGAGCGGCGGCCGUUACCAACACCCCUACUUUACGCGUACCUUCUGUUCUCCUUCGGCGGGGCGACCCGCCGCUGGAAUCAAACAAACCUUUUGCAUGCAGCAUACACGUUCUGAUAACUUUUAAUAGUUACAACUUUUAACAACGGAUCU